rnacentral:rRNA from 1 species
CCCUUAGAUGUUCUGGGCCGCACGCGCGCUACACUGAUGCAUUCAACGAGUGUACCUUGGCCGAGAGGCCUGGGCAAUCUUUUGAACGUGCAUCGUGAUAGGGAUAGAUUAUUGCAAUUAUUAAUCUUGAACGAGGAAUUCCUAGUAAACGCAGAUCAUCAAUCUGCAUUGAUUACGUCCCUGCCCUUUGUACACACCGUCCGUCGCACCUACCGAUUGGAUGGUCCGGUGAAGCCUCGGGAUUGUGGCGGUUGCCUUUAUUGGUGGCCGCCGCGAGAACUUGUCUAAACCUUAUCAUCUAGAGGAAGGUGAAGUCGUAACA